GGAAGGAUCAUUAUUGAAUAAACCUGAUGGGUUGUUGCUGGCUCUCUAGAGAGCAUGUGCACGCCUUGUCAUCUUUAAAUCUCCACCUGUGCACCUUUUGUAGACCUUUUCAGGUCUAUGUUGUCUCAUUUACCCCAAUGUAUGUUAAUAGAAUGUUGUGACUAUAUAAUAUAUACAACUUUCAGCAACGGAUCUCUUGGCUCUCGCAUCGAUGAAGAACGCAGCGAAAUGCGAUAAGUAAUGUGAAUUGCAGAAUUCAGUGAAUCAUCGAAUCUUUGAACGCACCUUGCGCUCCUUGGUAUUCCGAGGAGCAUGCCUGUUUGAGUGUCAUUAAUAUAUAUAUCAACCUUCUCUUGUUGAAUGGUUUGGAUGUGGGGGUUUGCUGGCCUCUUAAAAGGAUUCAGCUCUCCUGAAAUGCAUUAGCAGAACAAAACCUGUUCAUUGGUGUGAUAACUAUCUACGCUAUUGAAUGUGAGGUGGCAGUUCAGCUUUCUAACAGUCCCUUGGGACAACUCAUCAUUAAUGUGACCUCAAAUCAGGUAGGACUACCCGCUGAACUUAAGCAUAUCAAUAAGCGGAGGAA
rnacentral:sRNA from 1 species